ACCAGGAAAGACCGGGAGAGGAAACAACGCAAAAGGUCCUGCUUGGGUGCUACUGAAAAGGGGGAUCUAAAGGCUUCUCCAGCUGCUUCCUUUUACGCACCGCGUUCUGACUUGAGGCAAUUUAAACGUUCAUCAAAAUGAACUUCACGGAGUCGAUGGAAAACCACCCCCCUUUGUGUUCACGAUUUUAUUCACCCACCCUGCUGCUGGCUUUCACCUAGAAAGCUUGGGAUAAAACAAAUUCCAAAGCCUGAUCGAAAAUAUGAGUGCAUAAUUUAUGAGCACUUCAUGCUUAAUCUUUAAGGAAUGUCUAUAAUAACACAAUGGACUUGGAUGACAAGUUCCUUAAGGGCAGAAUAUAUUCCAGGCUUGUUUUGUCUUUCCUUGAAAGCUUAUGAAGGCUUCUGCUUUGUCAGUUUACUUUCUUUUCUAUGGUUUUAAAAAUGAGACUUAACUCUGGGCACUAAAGAUUCUUGGUGGAUAGUAUUCUUGCUCAUAUUUAUAAAAUAUGACAGUACUCAUCCAAAAACGGAUACCAGGAAAAUGACCAAUACUCUAUUACAAGGGGGGGGGGGAUUAAAAAAAUUGGGGGGUAUGUUAUGUAAAUUACUUAAGAUGCUGUGUAAAUUCAGAGGAACUUUAUCAAUUGCUAAUGCACGUACAAGUAAUGGCUGGGAUCUGUGACAUAAAGCACAGUAGGGAAAAUGGAUUUGGGUAUUAGAAAAUACUAAAUGUUAAAAUCAGUCCAGUAUUUACUAGCAUGGCAAUUUACCACUCUUCUUUCAAACUCUCCCCUGGAAAGGUUAAAAUGUUCAACCUCAUAGCAGUGUUGGAGGAAACCAGUUAGAUAAACUAGAGCAUGAAACAGAGUGUUGCUACUCACUAACUGAUAGUUAUUGUAAGUAAAAGUAUGCUCACUGACUCGCAAAACCACUGAUUGCACAGCUGGGAGGGCCCAUCUGUUUGUUAACUCAGGACCUGCUUGUUAACUCAAGUAGAGGCAUCAUUACUAGAGAUUGAGCAGCUCAGUAACUUGCCAAGUGCACACAGCAAAGGCCGGGUUGCCACAUGAUGAUCGCAUCUUAAAAUCCAGGCCCUGUUUGGAGGCCCUGCGUCUUCCCCAAAGGUAAAAAAGUAAAUCUGGCAAGACAGAGUCUGGGCAACAACACUCAAUAAAGGAAUGCCAGAUACCAUAGAGGAAAGACACUCUAGAAAGUGAAGAAGGUAACUGUUGGCCUUUUAUUCCAUUAUGAAUAAUUUUUGCUCUUGAGAUGAGUGAUGAGUGAUUACUUCCUUGUCCUCUUACUGCUGUUACACGCUGCCCUCCUUUGCCAGCAUUUUGAAAGUUUUUUUUUUUUCCUCUGCCCUAAUACUUGCCUAUCAAGACAAUGACUUCAGUGUUCAAAUCCUGGAUCUACUGUUUCUUUCUUCCUUUACCUCCUUCAUUCUGGUUUUAGUAAAGCUGUGUUCAGAGGCACAUCUUGAACUUAUUUCUUACAACUGCAACACCUCAUCUCUGAAAUCUUAGACAUUCAUGUUUCAGUCUCUGCCCACCAUAGUUUCCAUCUCUCCAGCCUUCCUUUUUCUACCUUUCUUCCUUCUCAUGAUGGUCUCACCCCUUUCUCCCGAUCUCUUCUUGCCUCUGUGGCCUGCCUGAUGUUCCUUUCCAUCCAUGUCUUCAGUCUACUUCUCUUCCCACAAAAACCCCAGACUAAAAUUAUAGAAACAAAAUGGCAUUGUAUUUAGGUUUAAAAAAAUUACUUUUAUUUUAUGUGCAGUGGUGUUUUGCCUGCAUGUGUCUGUGUGAGGGCGUCAGAUCUUGGAUUUAUAGACAGUUGUGAGCUGCCAUGUGGGUGCUUUGGAAGAGCAGUCAAUGUUCUUAACCACUGGGCUAUCUCUCCAGCUCUUGAGAUUAUUGUGUCUUUAAAUUUAGCAUUCUCAACUUUAUCAACACAGUCAGAAUUGCUCAGGAAUCACCUCAGGACUCUAACAUCAACCCUGUCUUGUAUUUCCUAGUGAUAGAGAUGCUCUGUACUCACUCUCAGAACUCACCAUCCAACCUCAGCCCGAUCUCUCAACAUUUGGUCAAGCUCUCUUACCUGUUUUCCUGUGCUCGGGAGCACACCCAUCACUAAACGAAGCUCUCUACUUGGCCUGGUCUGAUCCUCCCCAGGACACUGCUUCUCAGAAAGAACUUUCUUGGAGCUGGAGAGAUGACUUAGCUUCAGAGCACUGGCUGUUCUUGCAGAGGACCUGGUUUUGCUUCCCACUGCUCAUAUGAUCAGUGUCUAGCCCAGCAAUCAUCAGAGAAGAAUCCUCCUGACAUGGAAGCAAAUACAGAGAGCCACAACUGGACAAUGUGAAGAAAGUGGGAGACCCUGAAACAUUCAGUCCUAAACAGUGUGUCUCCAUUGAAUUCCUCCCCUCAGGGCUCAGAGAACUCUGCAGAAGAGAAGCCAGAAGAUUUUAAGAGUCAGUGGGGAUGGAAGAGAACAAGGAAACAAGGCCAUCUAGACACAACUCACAGAGACUGAGACAGCACACACAGGGUCUGCACAGGUCUAAGCCGCAUGGGGGUCCCAGGGUGGAGAGGGGUAGUGGGCACAAGCACCCAUCCCUAACCUAUCAAUUUCCAAUUGAUAACUAUUCUCAAAGAGAAAAAUUAAGUUUUCUCCAGUGGGGUCUCACUGGCUAUAAAAACUACACUAAAGCGUAGCAUAAAACUAACUUAUUUUUGAAGGUAUCUUUAAUGUUUCACAAUGCCCUGUCUGGGUAUUUUUUUAAGUUCUUUUUUCCCUUUCCUCUUUUAAUCUUACAGAUCUUUUGUUUAUAUACAAUGGUUUCCUACUUUGUUUUUAUGGGUUUUCUGUGUGUCUUUGAACUGUAUUUGUUCCUUGUACCUUUUCUUCGGUCUUUUUUUUUCUUUCUGUUUUUUCCUAUUCUGGUUUAAUAUUAUAUUAAGUUUAUUAGAUAUUAUUUUUUCUUGUUUUAUUUAAUUAUUUUUAUUUUCAUUAAUUACAGUUUAUUCACUUUGUAUCCCCCCUGUAACUCCUUCCCUCCCCCCUCCCAAUCCCAUCCUUCCUCCCUUUAUCUCACCCGUGUCCCUCUCCCAGUCCACUGAUAAGGGAGGUCUUCCUCCCCUUCCUUCUGAUCCUAGUCUAUCAGGUCUCAUCAGGAGUAGUUGCACUGUCUUCUGUGGCCUGGUAAGGUUGCUCCCCCUCAGGGGGAGGUGAUCAAAGAGCAGGCCAAUCAGUUCAUGUCAGAGACAGUCCCUGUCCCCAUUACUAUGGAGGCCACUUGGCCACUGAAAUGCCAUAGGCUACCUCCGUGCUCAUAUCAAAAUUAUUUUAGAUGCUUGUUUGUAUUCUAGUGGGAGAGAAUGAAAGGAUGUGGAUUUGGUUGGGUGGGGAAGUGAAAGAUCAGGGAAGGGAAAUAGUGAUCAGAAUAUAUUGUAUAAAAAAAUCUAUUUUCAAUAAAAAGAGAAAAUCCAGUACUAUGUACAAUGACUAUACCUCCUUGAAAAUAUGUGAGUAUAUUACAUGACAUUUAAAGGACUCCCGACUGUACCUGUAUAGUAGAGUAAU